CGGACAUAUCACAUUGAAACACUGACUCUCAUUCGAUCACUGAAGUUAAGCAAUGUUAAAACCUGAUCAGUAGCUCGAUGGGUGACCGCUCGGGAAUACCAGGUGUUA